UGCGCCGAACUGCGCAUGUGCAGGCAGUCUGUUUAGUCUGUUUAGUCUGUUUCACAACCAUUCCUGGAAAUCUUGCGAUGCCGCGCCUCUGGGUUUAGAAACUCUGUGAUUUGGUCUAUAAAACAGGUUGUCAGACGCCAGUCUACAUCUGGGUAGAGAAACAUCUCAUACAUUCUGAAGUAUGUGCUGUAUUUGGCUUCUAUUUUGAACAUCUAAUGGUGAUUUUUGUUUGACAUCCAUCGGCAAACUUCGAUGAUUUAAGAAAGUCAGAGACCUACAAGAUCGACAAGAGAAUGGGUGGAGAUGCAUCAAAAGAUCGAGCAGAUAACGCAGAGAGAGACCGCGAUCAAGCCAAAACUGAUAAACAGAAAGCGGAGGAGGACAAACAGAACAUGGAGAAGGAAAAGAAAAAGACAGAAGAGGAUUACAGGCAGCUCUUUGCUGAGAAAGUGAGAAUGGAAACAGAACAAAAGAUGGAAGAAAAACGAAGACAGGAGCGUGAGAAGGAAACUCUAAAAGUAAUAGAACACAAUAGACAGCGAGAGAAAAAUGAAAAGACAAGAAUUCAGCUGGAAAAUGCAAAAGGAGAUCAGAAAACUGUAUAAAAUCUAUCCACAUAUUAAGAGACAAAGGCAUAAACUGUUUAAAUUAUCCACAUAAUGAAUUAUUGGACAAGGCACACAAUCAUUGUAUACCUUUAAUAUCCACAAUUGCGCUGCCUGUUUUAUUUUCCCCAAAUGAUGUGCUUAAAGGGAUAGUUCACACAAAUGACACAGUGGUUUAAUAACCCUGUUAGCCGUUUUUGUUUACCUGGCUGCUGCCACCAAAUGCUUUUCAAACCAAUGCCUGUCAAUAUCUGAGAAUCCUCUGUAGCUUUGCAAUAAAUUGAUUCUAUUGAUG